CCUUUCUUUUUUUGUGUUUGAAUUUCUCCGCCUUUGAAUUUGGGCUUUCACUCGAGCGCAGAGAGUUCAGCCUAUUUCCAUAAAAAAUCCUUUCCAUGCAUUUUUUUUCUCUUUUUUUCUCUCCCUCUCUCUCUUUCUCUCUUUUUCUAAACAGCAACUUGGAGAAAUCCUGCGUUUUUCCCUCCUGGUUUCUCCUCGCGCUGCUUUCCCGGCUGAUCUGAUUAUUUUUCCCUUCACGUUUUGUCCCAAUAGCAAAUUACCAAUUCUAUGAAUUGCAAAGCAGCCUCGGAGACGCUGAGGGCUGGAGAGGGGGAGAUGCCAAGAUUGAAAGGGAUCUUUGCAAACACAAUCACGUUCUUAAAUGGAAAUGUGGGGCUUUAAACAAAUCUUACAUCUCUCCUGUUUCAGUCGUGUAAAAGUCUGCAAUCAGGCGCGCGCGCUCCUUCCAACCACCACAGCUGUUUACAGGACUUUUUCCGUUCUCUUUUUUGGGCUUUUGGAAGAGGAAAAAACAAACAAAAAAGAAACCAAUGUGAUGCUGUGGGAAAGAAGUCGGGCGCGAGAGCGAAAGACUUCCCAUUGGGCAGACUGUGUGUGAAGAAGACGUGUGUAUUGCAGGUGUGAUGCCUAAGGCACACUGCAGGAGCAGGCGUACCCAGGUAGGAAGGGCUCUUACCAAGGAAACCAUCACCCUCGUGUGUGUGUGUGUGUGUGUGUGUGUGUGUGUGUGUGUGUGUGUGUGUCAUUUUUUCCAAACAGAAACAUACUCUACUUUUAAGUAUAAUUCAGCAGUUUUGAGCUUUGUGUUUAAUGUGCUGUAUUCAGGAGCCUACUUUAUCUGUUCAUCUUUUCUCAAUUGCUAUGUCUAUGUAGUAGCUGCUUUUAAAAAUGUUGGUCACUUAAAGCAUUUAACCCUCCUGUUAUGUUAAUUUGUCAGGAACAGCAAUGGUGUUUCUGGGUCAUAUGACCUGGUGCAUGUUUUACUAUCCAAAAGAUGUCUGAAACCCCCCCAAAAAUCCUUACAAGCAGUUUAAAUAUUUCAGUACUAACUCCAUUACUAAUUAUUCUAUCAAUGUUUAGUACAAUGCUGUUCCUUACCUCUAACAGGUAAUGGUUCAAUUAGAAUUAUUCUCUCGUUUUUCAUAAAA